GGCGGGAGCCGGUUUACCUGCUACUUUCCUGCCACCAAUCAUUUGGCGCACAGGAGCGCACGCCCCGAGGAGAGGACCAAUCCGCGCGCGCUCCCUGGGUUCCUCGCCCCUGCCCUCUCCCUUUCCCCUCAGGUCUCCCACUAGCCGCGGCCACUGCGGUGCCCAAGCCGCGCUCCUCGGGGUCGCCCGGGAUGUCCCUCUUCUCUGGGUCCCCUGCCGGCUGGCGUUUGGCCGCCCGCCCUCACCCCUCCUCCUUCUUCUUCUCCCCUCCGGGCAUUCCGACGAAAAGCAGCAGUUCCUGACUCCCUCUCUCCCUCCGGCUCCAUCUAGGAAACCAAUUUUAGGAACGUUGAGUGCCAGACCCUUCCUAAAAUCCCUGGUUUGCCAAAGUCUCAACGAGAGAACGGAUACUUAGUAUUUCUAGAAGGCAUUUCCACCCCGAGGACUGCAAGUGUUCUCACGUUCUUUGCGUUCAUCAUGACCUCCAAGUGUCCCACUGGAGCUGUCAUUCCCGUAGUUCCAAAGAGAAUACUCGAGCGCGGAGCGAUUCCAUUGCAUUUCCUUCCAGUAGCCAGGUUUUGACCACUUACUGAAGAGUAGACACCAGCCCCGCGGCAGCGCUCUCUGCUGCAAAAAGCUGUCUACGGAGCAAGACGGAAGGAAACAGUUACAGAAAAUAAAAAUUUGAUAACGACAUGCGACUCGGUUGCUGAGAGGACAGAGAAAGUGACUUAUUUUUGCAUCUCAGGCACUUUGUAGAGGGCCUUUAGCACAAAGAACUCCCGGCUCUUCCAGAUGUUAAACUCCCUGAAUAGAAGGACAGCGUCUUCUUUUUCGUUAUCCAUCAUGUCAGCUCUCCUUUAGCGCCUGCUGGGGUAGGGUGGAGUGGUGGGGGCGGGGCUGGCACCCAACAAGUGCACCAUAAAUAUCUGUUGGCUGGAUACAUGAACAAAUGGAAUUAAAUAAAUUGGCCUAAUUCUGUUACCCAGACUGGCCCCCGUGACUCUAGACUUCUAGCCUGAGACAGAGUCUUGCUAUGCUGCCCAGGCUGGACUCGAACUUCUAGACUCGAGCAAUUCUCAUGCCUCAGCCUCCCAAGUGGCUGAGACUAUAGGCAUGCCACCACACCCAGCUCUUUUGAUGUAAUUUUUAUCCCAUCAAAGUUUUGUCAUCUUGCUUUUAAAAAAUUAUCACAUGCAUUCUCUCUUGUUAUUGAGCCUCCUUCUACAACUGGCUGUCUAAUGGCUGCAGCAUUUUUAUUGUAUGGAGAAACUAUACCUCAUGCAAAA
rnacentral:lncRNA from 1 species